UUAAAAAGCUCGUAGUUGAAUUUCGGGAUUAGUACGUUGGUCGUGCCUUAGGUACGUACUGGUGUUACUGGUUCCUACCUUCUGACGAACCAUCAUGUCAUUAAUUUGGUGUGGCGGGGAAUCAGGACUGUUACUUUGAAAAAAUUAGAGUGUUUAAAGCAGGCUCGCGCUUGAAUACAUUAGCAUGGAAUAAUGAAAUAGGACGUUGAUCCUAUUUUGUUGGUUUCUAGGAUUGACGUAAUGAUUAAUAGGGAUAGUUGGGGG
rnacentral:rRNA from 1 species